AGGUUUGUGAUGUUAUUACCGGGCAGAGACAGACCAAGACUCCGAGACGAUGACGGCCGCCAGCAAGAAGAAGCCCAAAGAGUCUCAGCAGGAUGAGGAGUAUGUGGACGUCAGCCCUCCGCAGAGGAACUGGAAGGGCAUUGCCAUCUCUUUGCUGGUGAUCGUGGUGGUCUGCUCGCUCAUCACCAUGUCUGUGGUCGUCCUCACACCCGUUGAACUUCCCGGCAGCAGCAAGUCCAGGCU